CACAAGCGGAGGAACAUGUGGUUUAAUUCGAUGAUACGCGAGGAACCUUACCUGGGCUUAAAUGGGGAGUGACAGCUGUCGAAAGAUGGUUUUCUUCGGACACUCUUCAAGGUGCUGCAUGGUUGUCGUCAGCUCGUGCCGUGAGGUGUCGGGUUAAGUCCCAUAACGAGCGCAACCCUUACCGUUAGUUACCAUCAGGUUAAGCUGGGGACUCUAGCGGGACUGCCACCGUAAGGUGAGAGGAAGGUGGGGAUGACGUCAAAUCAGCACGGCCCUUAUGUCCAGGGCUACACACGUGUUACAAUGGCCAGUACAAAGGGCAGCUACCGGGUGACCGGAUGCUAAUCUCUAAAGCUGGUCUCAGUUCGGAUCGAAGUCUGCAACCCGACUUCGUGAAGCUGGAUUCGCUAGUAAUCGCGCAUCAGCCAUGGCGCGGUGAAUACGUUCCCGGGCCUU
rnacentral:rRNA from 1 species